rnacentral:rRNA from 1 species
UACGUAGGUCCCGAGCGUUGUCCGGAUUUAUUGGGCGUAAAGCGAGCGCAGGUGGUUUAUUAAGUCUGGUGUAAAAGGCAGUGGCUCAACCAUUGUAUGCAUUGGAAACUGGUAGACUUGAGUGCAGGAGAGGAGAGUGGAAUUCCAUGUGUAGCGGUGAAAUGCGUAGAUAUAUGGAGGAACACCAGUAGCGAAGGCGACUUUCUGGACAGUAACUGACGUUGAGGCACGAAAGUGUGGGGAGCAAACAGG